rnacentral:rRNA from 1 species
ACGGAAGGCAGCAGUGAGGAAUAUUGGUCAAUGGGCGAGAGCCUGAACCAGCCAUGUCGCGUGCAGGAAUACGGCCCUAUGGGUUUUAAACUGCUUUUGCCUGGGGAUAAAGUGGCGGACUUGUCCGUUAUUGCAGGUACCAGGCGAAUAAGGAUCGGCUAACUCCGUGCCAGCAGCCGCGGUAAUACGGAGGAUCCGAGCGUUAUCCGGAUUUAUUGGGUUUAAAGGGUGCGUAGGCGGGCUGUUAAGUCAGCGGUGAAACCCCCGGGCUCAACCCGGGGACUGCCAUUGAAACUGGCGGCCUUGAGUACGUUGGGAGUGCGCGGAAUGUGUGGUGUAGCGGUGAAAUGCAUAGAUAUCACACAGAACACCGAUCGCGUAGGCAGCGCACUACGCCGCAACUGACGCUGAGGCACGAAGGCGCGGGGAUCGAACAGGAUUAGAUACCCUGGUA